UACGGAGGGGGCUAGCGUUGUUCGGAAUUACUGGGCGUAAAGCGCGUGUAGGCGGCUCGGUAAGUCCGCUCUGAAAGUCCGGGGCUCAACCCCGGGAGGCGGGUGGAUACUGUCGAGCUCGAGUCCGGAAGAGGCGAGUGGAAUUCCUGGUGUAGCGGUGAAAUGCGCAGAUAUCAGGAGGAACACCGAUGGCGAAGGCAGCUCGCUGGGACGUGACUGACGCUGAGACGCGAAAGCGUGGGGAGCAAACAGG
rnacentral:rRNA from 1 species